rnacentral:lncRNA from 1 species
ACUACCCUCCACCUCCCAAGUCCUAAGGGCUCAUCUUAAUGGUGCUGGGCUUAUCCCUAGCUCAGAACUCCUGAGAUCAAGCAAUCCACCAGCUUCAGCCUCUCCAGGAAAAGAAAUUAUAGUCUUUUCUGCUCAGAUACCUUACUCCUCAUACUAUCUCACAAAGAUGUCUAUCGAAUACCCUUCUCAGAUGCUUCAUGAUCAGUGCCUG